GCUCUGGUGGCUGAAUCGGAUAGAGCGUUGGACUUCUAAUCCAAAGGUUGCGGGUUCAAGUCCCGCCCAGAGUA
rnacentral:tRNA from 1 species